UACGGGGGGAGCAAGCGUUGUUCGGAAUUACUGGGCGUAAAGGGCUCGUAGGCGGCCAACUAAGUCGGACGUGAAAUCCCCAGGCUCAACCUGGGAACUGCGUCCGAUACUGGAUGGCUUGAAUUCGGGAGAGGGAUGCAGAAUUCCAGGUGUAGCGGUGAAAUGCGUAGAUAUCUGGAGGAAUACCGGUGGCGAAGGCGGCAUCCUGGACCGACAUUGACGCUGAUGAGCGAAAGCUAGGGGAGCAAACGGG
rnacentral:rRNA from 1 species